rnacentral:lncRNA from 1 species
GGUGACCUUUGUCCCUUCUUGGAAACUGCCUUUGUGAUGUACCUGCCCUUGUCAUGUCCCUUGAUUCUGACCUCUACUACCACCACCAACACCACCAUCCAUCAGAACUAUCCCUUAAUGUACCUGAAAUAACUCAAUAAGUAACACCAACCUUCCUCGAGUUUUAUGACCACUUGUCACUAAACUUUUGUGUGACCACCUGUUUUAAAGUACAUCUGCAUCAUUGAUCAGCAGUUGCAGAGACUGGGUGGUGAUGAGGGCAAGUGUGAAUGCAGAAGAUGGGUCUGGAGGCCACUGCAAAAAUCAAGACUAGAGAUCAUGGUGACUGGGACUAGGUUUGUGAUAUUAGGGAUGAAGUAAUGUAAACCAAUAUGGGGUGUAUUUGGAAGUUUAAUUAAAAGUUCUCACUUAUGAAUUGGAUUUGGAGUGAGGAAAGAGAAAUGAAUCAAAGAUUAGCCCCUUAGUUUUGUCUUGAAUUACUAGGUAGGUGUUGAUGCAAAAAUGACAGGGGGAAGAUUGUAAGAGGAGAUGGCUUUUUGCAGAGGGGGUUCUUCCCUGUCACAUCUCUUCAGUUUACCAAAGAGAAAAAGAAAAAUCCCUAACCACGUGCUACCUUGAUUGGAUGUCGUGUCGUUUAUGUAAGGCAGGUUACCAGUUUGGCAAGGACAUUUAAAUUUAUCGUCUGACUUCUGCAGUACUGUGCCACGCAUUCCUAAGGCUUGUAUGAUAACUGGUACUUCAACAAAGAGAAACUUUAUAUGCUGUGACUAUCAUUUGUAUGAAAGUCAGAAAUGAUCAGAAUGAGAAUGAUUUAGGAAGAUGCAGUUCUGAAAAUUCCAAAAAGAGUAUCUUCUUCAAAUGUUACAGAAGAGGAGUUUUUAAACUUCAGGAUUUGUUUGUAUGCAGAGCUCCUAGAGUGGUUUGGAAGCAACAAAUUAGGAAGCGAAUGGUUGAGUCAUGGCUAGAGGCAUCUGGAAGCAGCAGGAAGUAGCAGAGGAACCUCCGUCACAGGUUGGAGGCAAUUCCUCAUCAGGACCCAAGACUCUACAUAGAUGUUUAAGAGGAAUAAUUCCUUAUACAGUUUUCACCCCUACGCUUAAUGGCCUGUGAUCACUUUACCAUGCUGAUGUGUCCUAUGAGGCAAUAAACUAAUUGAACUCCCUUCUAACUCAUUUAACUCUUCGUUAGCCUGGAUCUGAUGCUAAACUAAGAAGCUGAACAGUUUGGUGUUUGUUCAUUUGGAGAGGAAAAGUGAAGUCCAGAAAACAUUUCCUGUUUCAGGGAUAUCUAAGUGGGGUGGCAAGUAUAUAAAUAGUUAAAAUCAGGUGGGCUGAGUGUCAGUUUCCAAGUAUUCAUGAGCAGGUGUGGACCAGAGAGGAGGGGUCUUUGUGCACGGUGGAGAGUGAGGAGCAUCUUAUUAGAGGUGGCUUGAGCUGAGUCUCAAAGGAGCAGUGGGAUUAUCCAGGCAGAGGAGGUAGAGAACCAUGCUCCAGGCAGAACGGCUAGCAUGAGCAGUCACUGAGACGACUGAAGGAUCAGGACUUAUUUGAGAACCUCAAGUAGUUAAGGAGCUUGUGGAGGAGUGGGGCAGAGCAAGGGUCAGCAAACUUGUUUUAUGAAGAGUAAGUAUUUUAUUUAGGCUGUGUGAACCAUAUGGCUCAUCACAAAGACUCUUGCUCUGCUGAGUAGGUAGUGCAAAAGCAGCUGGAGGGGGAUAUGCAAAUGAGAGGGCGUGGUGUUCCAUGU